GCUGGAAUAGCUCAGCUGGGAGAGCAGCACACUGAAGCCUCUGCUUUCUGAAGGUCAGGGGUUCGAUCCGCCCUUCUGGCA